rnacentral:lncRNA from 1 species
CACUACGCGGUUGCACUCACCCUUAUGCGAAUGCACAUACCAACAUACCAAACCUAUGCAAUCGCACAGACUCUCAUGCAAUCGCAUAGAACAACUUUUAACCCCUUCUAAAACCUCAUAUGCGAUCGCAAUGCACCCUAUGCGAUCGCGUAGGGCAAUAUCUUUGCAACACACCAGCAGUUUUCUUCAACUUCCUAAAUCAAAAAACCUUCUGUUUAACCAUCCGAAAUCACCCCGAGGCCCCCGAGACCUCAACCAAAAGCACAGACAUGAUCUAUUACCUUAUUCAAACUUGCUCAAAUCAUCACUACACUAACGUUAACAUCAAAAUCCUCAAUUAUGAUUAAAUCAAAGCCUAAAUUUUUUAAAAACAUUCGAAUUGCAUUUUUGAUCAAAAACUCAACCCAAACACCUUCUAAUGACCUAACACUUUGCACGCAUAUCCAAAAUCAUCUAAAGGAUUAAUUGAUGCCUCAUGUAAAGCAGAUGAUUAAAAUUCACAAGAGUAAAUCCAUAACCAUCUUUCUCGAUAAGCCCCUUGUUGUUGUGCAUCCAUUGACAGCAUUUGAACUUCUUG